rnacentral:misc_RNA from 1 species
GGAAGUAAAAGUCUAACAAGGUUUCCGUAGGUGAACCUGCGGAAGGAUCAUUAAUGAGUUGUCAUGGGGUUCGAUGCUGGCAGCCAGUUUUUGGAUGCAUGUGCUUGCCCUAACAAUCAUCUUCUUCCAAACACCUGUGCACAUUUUUGAGGGAGUCUUGAGUUGGUUGCCGCUCUUGGGUGAUUUUCUCACAUUCCCUUAAAUCAUUAUACGCUAUUAACAAUGUUGAACGUGCUCUGUGCCGCAAGGCCAUUAAUAUAAUACAACUUUUAACAACGGAUCUCUUGGCUCUC